UUUUUAGUAUAGGUAUAUCCUAUGCAAUAUUUAGGACAUUCUUAUACUAAAA
rfam:Homo sapiens chromosome 7, GRCh38 reference primary assembly.